UGGAUACUGGUCCUUAAGGAUGGAUUUUCCAUCACCAUAUUGGAUAGUGAUUUGAGAAGUAAAGAUGAUUUGGGAUUACUGACGUAUAAGAUUACCACCGUACAACAAAUAUAAUAUGGUGAUCUCAUUACUUUUACCAAUAUCACCCUUGAUCUUAAGGUCAUCAUCCUAUAAUAAAAGUCCUCGAGCUAUUAUAAUAAGUUGCAUCAUAAUCAAUCAACUAAGAGAACUUCAGCUAUCAACAAAAGAACAACAUCACCUUCCCAAGCAUGCCAAUCAAACCUACUCAUUCAACAUAGCUAC
rnacentral:lncRNA from 1 species